GGCGCGCUGGGCUUUCCCGCGCCUGCGCGCCGUGUGCACGCGCCGAGUACAGUCGGCGACACCACCCGACUUCUCAUUUCACAGAAAAUCUUCUACCACGCGCCUUUUGUUCGUUCCGAAUAAACCUACCUAAUCAAAAUCAAAAUAGAAAAUCAUUAUUUAAACAUGACUGCCAAACAGCACUAAAAGACGACCCCCAAAUCACCCAGCCUUCACCACUUCCUAUAUUUUUUGCUGGGAAGAAGUGGCGCAACAAACUCCCCAGCGACACAUGUCUGUCUGUAGGUUAGAAGAACCUUUCAACAAUGUUUCAUUAUCUGCACAGUUAUUUUAAUGGCAUGGCUGCCGUUCAUAGAGAAGAGGUCUUGCAGUAGCCACCGCACCGCUCAGCAGCGCCACCUGGAGUCGGGUCUGGCUGGUACACUGAAGGAAAACCAGUCGCUCCCGCGAGACCGCCAUGAUACGCGUCGCCUGCCUGCUGCUGGUGGCGGCGCGCGCGCUGCCCGCUGCGUCCGCCCCCACUCCGGCCCCGCCGCCCUGGGGUGGCGUCACCUGCUCGCGCGCACGCUGGGGGAUAUCAAAGGGAAUGCACCCACGGAAAACCCAGUCGAUCGAAAACAGUUUAUUGUGAAAUUACAUUGCAAGGACCCUAAAAAAUGCGCGCCAACGCAACUGUACGAGUUUAACCUGUUACGAGUGCAGCCCAGCGAGAGCGGCAAACGGGUUUAUUACUGACGUGAACUGCACCUGCUCUGCAGAGGCCGCGCCCGACCCGGCCCGGUAGUGCGGUGCUCUACCAUACAACAUGACCAAAGAAAAAGUAUUAUUGAAUACGAGUGUAAAGCCGAAGGGCACGUCAGCUUAUUUUGGCCAACUUUCUCUUGCAAUAUUUUUUUUAUUAUUUGUUUCUAGCAUCUCAGGAUAACGUUAAAUAAUAUACAUAUCUGUCUAUUCUAGUAUAAUAAAGAUUAUAUUUUUGUUUGUGUAUAAAGUGUAAAAGCCUGGAAACUACUAAACCGACAUGAAAAAUUCUUUCAUUGCUCGAAAGCUACACUGUCCCAAAUAUAGGCUAUAUUUUAUCCGGGUACGUUCAUAUGUGACGCGAGUGAAACCACGGAAAACCAGCUAUUUUUAUAUACCUACAAACAAACUAGUUUACACGAUGUGUCGGCUUCGUGUUACGCUACGUGGUGUCUUGUGUGACUUCCCGAGUACUUCGCCCAGAAACUUCCCGAGUAGUAAAGGAACAAAUAAAAAAAAUCUGUAAACAAAUAAAAAAGUUAGUAGGUACCUAUGUAUCAUUGAGCAUGGUUCGUGUCAUGUAUGGAUAGAACUAGCUUCUGACCGCGGUUUCACCCGCGUACCGGAUGGUGACAAAAACUAUAUCCUAUGUACUUCUUCAGCCGUUCUUGAGUUAGAAGUGGAGUAACUAACACGACUUUCUUUUAUAUAUAUAAGAUAUAUAAGUAGAUCUAAACAAGCAACAUAAUGUGUUUCUAUGUGAUUAAGUAUUACGUAAUUCUUAGUAAAAUUAAAUAGCUUCGUUUGUUGUAUAGUUUGUGCAUGUGCUGUCAUGAUUUUGGACUAAUAAGAAACAUUCAUAUUUUUA